GCCCGUUUAGCAUAGUCGUUAUUGCGCGGCACUUGUACCGAAGCCCUGAGUGGCUUGCAAUGCCGAGGUCGCUAGUUCAAAUCUGGCAACGGGCA